rnacentral:rRNA from 1 species
GAUGAACGCUGGCGGCGUGCCUAAUACAUGCAAGUCGAGCGAACAGACGAGGAGCUUGCUCCUCUGACGUUAGCGGCGGACGGGUGAGUAACACGUGGAUAACCUACCUAUAAGACUGGGAUAACUUCGGGAAACCGGAGCUAAUACCGGAUAAUAUAUUGAACCGCAUGGUUCAAUAGUGAAAGACGAUAUUGCUGUCACUUAUAGAUGGAUCCGCGCCGCAUUAGCUAGUUGGUAAGGUAACGGCUUACCAAGGCAACGAUGCGUAGCCGACCUGAGAGGGUGAUCGGCCACACUGGAACUGAGACACGGUCCAGACCCCUACGGGAGGCAGCAGUAGGGAAUCUUCCGCAAUGGGCGAAAGCUUGACGGAGCAACGCCGCGUGAGUGAUGAAGGUCUUCGGAUCGUAAAACUCUGUUAUUAGGGAAGAACAAAUGUGUAAGUAACUAUGCACGUCUUGACGGUACCUAAUCAGAAAGCCACGGCUAACUACGUG